UUUCCGUAGGUGAACCUGCGGAGGGAUCACUACAGAGAUCAUGCUCCUCCGGGUAGAUCUCUCACCCCGUGUCAUUGCCCCUUUUGUUGCUUUGGCGCGCCGCCCAGUCCUUGGCCCGGCUACCUGCUCCGGCUGGUACGUGCCCACCAGAUGACCCUAAACUCCUGAAUAACCGUGUCUUCUGUGUAACAAGGAAUCGCUAAAACUUUCAACCACGGAUCACUUCGUUCUGGCAUCGAUGAAGAACGCAGAAGACCGGUAAAGCACCCGUAUGAACUC
rnacentral:misc_RNA from 1 species